rnacentral:tRNA from 1 species
GUUAAUGUAGCUUAUCCUUCAAAGCAAGGCACUGAAAAUGCCUAGAUGAGUAAUUUUACUCCAUAGACA